rnacentral:lncRNA from 1 species
GUCAUUCCUUUGACUCCACCGGACUUCAUAGCCCCCAUGGCCUGGUGUUGGGUCUGAUCACCCCAACAUCCCUGGUGCCCAAUGUGGGGCGACGAAGAUUCUGGCAAUGGAAUGCUAGAGCGUGUGGAAGUGGAGGACGCAUCAUCAGAGGACACCCGAGGACGACUGAAGGAAGCUCAGCAGUUUUAAAAGCUUUUCAUGAAAAAAACGUAUCUGUUACAAGGGGGAAAGAAGCCUCCGGGACAGCAGUCAUUUGCCUCAGCUGCACAAAGGCCAGGCCAGAUGGAAGAGACCAGCCUUCACCGAAGGCCGCAGGGAGCCCGGACACCCGGAGCUGAGCAUUCCGGUCACGCCUCAACCCCAAGGGGCCUGCGCAUGCUCCGCGCUGCGCGCGGCGCCCACGGCCCUGCCCUGAUACGCAGGAGCCCCGGGAUAGAGAAACCCAGAUGAAAACACAAGCCCAGUGAGAUGUUGGCCUCCUCAUCUGCUACCCUCGCCGUCACCUCUGCGCACCAAGCCUUCUGUCCCGGAGAAGAAGCCGUAUUUGGUCUCCCUCGAUGGGCGAGACCGGGGCCACGCGGGCACCGUGAUCCCGCCACUGCAUCCCGGGGACCCGCCGCUCAUCCUGGAGCGGCUCAGGGCCGUUUAGCAGCUUCCGCAGGUGCUGCCUGGCCCCCGUAGACACCAAGCCAGCUUAUCAAAAUUAAGGCAGAAGGCCCAGCAUUCGGUGUCCACACACCUGGACAAGCAGGAAUGGAAUCCUACAAUGCGCAAAAACUGAUUGCGAAGUGGCCUGAGGCAGAGUGUUUUUCAGUCAGGGACGUUGAAAGCUGGAGUUGACGGGGUUCUUUAUCAGAUGGUGGAUCCAGAACUAAACCACAUCCCCAGGCCACCAGUGGAAUGAGCAAUUCACGAGAUCCUGGGCGCCCAGAAGACAGCAAUGGUGCCAGUGCCCCCUCCAGAGCCCAAAGACCAGUACCCUCCAGCCUUCCAUCUCAGGGCGCUUCCCAAGAAUAUGUCCCACCCGUUUUGAAAGCUCCAUUUGAGUUAAUGGUGAAGAAGUAGCUUCGGUUACAUGGUUACAUAAGAGUGCAACUUCAGAAUGAAGAUAGGCCGAGGUCUCACUGAUUUCGGUAUUUCAGCCUUGACUGUGGGCAGUGUCCAGUUUGAACGGGGAGAGAGUUUGACGUUGGGGAAGUUGACUGUGUUGUCCCCUUCGUUGUGCCGCCAUUUGACCAGCCUGUCCAAAGGUACAACGCCCAGUAGACACUACAGGGAGAUAGAGAGACACUGCAGCAACCUGAGGUUGUCCUGAGACAAACUUUUAUACUUGAACAUGGAGACUGCACAUGGAUUUUGGGUUUGUGCUCUGUAAUACACAAAAGCUACAAUUAAAGAACAUAACCAGUCCCAAAGAUAAUUUCAAAGAAUAACGGCAAUUUAAGAGGUAGCUGGAAGUGGGGAUUUGACAGUGCUUAUUUGACGUUACUUCUCAGAGUUGCAAACUAAAAUGUACAAACCGUUAGCAUCAGAUAUCUUGAUGGUUGAAGGUUGUUAUGACCUUCCUGUACAUGAAUCUUUUACGUUCCCUUUCCCUUGUAAGAGGUGACAAAACAUGGAACCCUAGAAUGUGUGAGGAAGCUUGGACAUUAGGUAUAAGGAAAAACAUUUGCAAGCUGUCUGUCCAGGGCCUCUUCCUGUCCUGCAAGGGCUGGUGAGUCUUGGGUGUGUUUAGUUUAUUCUCAUGUUUGUGUUAUUUGAAAAAGUGAAUGGUCAAUAAAUGGCUUCAGAUUUAUAAUAAAAUCAUUUGAUACUAAAAGAAAGAAAUUUCACUAGGAAUUUAUCCUGAGUAAAUCAUCAUGAAUAUGCACAAAUGUAUUUUUACAAAGAUGUUUAUUUCAAUACUAUUUAUAGAGGUUAAAAUUUUUGUAGCAAUCGCCGGGCACGGUGGCUCACACCUGUAAUCCCAGCACUUUGGGAGACCGAAGUAGGCAGAUCACCUGAGGUCGGGUUCAAGACCAGCCUGACCAACACGGAGAAACCCCUUCUCUACUAAAAAUACAAAAUUAACCAGUCACGCUGAUGCAUGCCUGUAGUCCUAGCUAUUCGGGAGACUGAGGCAGGAGAAUCGCUUGAACCUGGGAGGCGGAGGUUGCGGUGAGCCGAGGUCAUGUCAUUGCACUCGGCAACAAGAGGGAAACUCCAAUGC